rnacentral:rRNA from 1 species
AAAAAAGGUAAGCUACUAAGAGCGAAUGGUGGAUGCCUUGACUGGUAAAGGCGAUGAAGGACGUACUAGACUGCGAUAAGCUACGGGGAGCUGUCAAGAAGCUUUGAUCCGUAGAUUUCCGAAUGGGGCAACCCAAUGUAUAGAGAUAUACAUUACCUAUAUAGGAGCGAACGAGGGGAAUUGAAACAUCUUAGUACCCUCAGGAAAAGAAAUCAAUAGAGAUUGCGUCAGUAGCGGCGAGCGAAAGCGCAAGAGGGCAAACCCAGUGCUUGCACUGGGGGUUGUAGGACUGUAAUGUGCAAGAGGUAAGUUUAGCAGAACAUUCUGGAAAGUAUAACCAUAGAGGGUGAUAGUCCCGUAUGCGAAAAACAAACCUUAGCUAGCAGUAUCCUGAGUAGGGCGGGACACGAGGAAUCCUGUCUGAAUCCGGGUCGACCACGAUCCAACCCUAAAUACUAAUACCAGAUCGAUAGUGCACAAGUACCGUGAGGGAAAGGUGAAAAGAACUGAGGUGAUCAGAGUGAAAUAGAACCUGAAACCAUUUGCUUACAAUCAUUCAGAGCCUUAUGUAGCAAUACAGGGUGAUGGACUGCCUUUUGCAUAAUGAGCCUGCGAGUUGUGGUGUCUGGCAAGGUUAAGCAAACGCGAAGCCGUAGCGAAAGCGAGUCUGAAUAGGGCGCUUAGUCAGAUGCUGCAGACCCGAAACGAAGUGAUCUAUCCAUGAGCAAGUUGAAGCUAGUGUAAGAACUAGUGGAGGACUGAACCCAUAGGCGUUGAAAAGCCCCGGGAUGACUUGUGGAUAGGGGUGAAAGGCCAAUCAAACUUCGUGAUAGCUGGUUCUCUCCGAAAUAUAUUUAGGUAUAGCGUUGUGUCGUAAUAUAAGGGGGUAGAGCACUGAAUGGGCUAGGGCAUACACCAAUGUACCAAACCCUAUCAAACUCCGAAUACCUUAUAUGUAAUCACAGCAGUCAGGCGGCGAGUGAUAAAAUCCGUCGUCAAGAGGGAAACAACCCAGACUACCAGCUAAGGUCCCUAAAUCUUACUUAAGUGGAAAACGAUGUGAAGUUACUUAAACAACCAGGAGGUUGGCUUAGAAGCAGCCAUCCUUUAAAGAAAGCGUAAUAGCUCACUGGUCUAGUGAUUUUGCGCGGAAAAUAUAACGGGGCUAAAGUAAGUACCGAAGCUGUAGACUUGCGCACAACUUAGAUUAUUUAAGUUUAGAAUAUGAGAAACUAAGUUAUAUGUUUAGUUAUAUUUUUACUGAUUUUUAUAGAGUAAAGAUAGAAAUAAAACUUAGUAAAAUCAGUAAAAAUAUUCUUAGACUAAAGUUAAGUAGUUUAAGUUGUGUGCAAGUGGUAGGAGAGCGUUCUAUUUGCGUCGAAGGUAUACCGGUAAGGAGUGCUGGAGCGAAUAGAAGUGAGCAUGCAGGCAUGAGUAGCGAUAAUUAAUGUGAGAAUCAUUAACGCCGUAAACCCAAGGUUUCCUACGCGAUGCUCGUCAUCGUAGGGUUAGUCGGGUCCUAAGUCGAGUCCGAAAGGGGUAGACGAUGGCAAAUUGGUUAAUAUUCCAAUACCAACAUUAGUGUGCGAUGGAAGGACGCUUAGGGCUAAGGGGGCUAGCGGAUGGAAGUGCUAGUCUAAGGUCGUAGGAGGUUAUACAGGCAAAUCCGUAUAACAAUACUCCGAGAACUGAAAGGCUUUUUGAAGUCUUCGGAUGGAUAGAAGAACCCCUGAUGCCGUCGAGCCAAGAAAAGUUUCUAAGUUUAGCUAAUGUUGCCCGUACCGUAAACCGACACAGGUGGGUGGGAUGAGUAUUCUAAGGCGCGUGGAAGAACUCUCUUUAAGGAACUCUGCAAAAUAGCACCGUAUCUUCGGUAUAAGGUGUGGUUAGCUUUGUAUUAGGAUUUACUCCGAAAGCAAGGAAACUUACAACAAAGAGUCCCUCCCGACUGUUUACCAAAAACACAGCACUCUGCUAACUCGUAAGAGGAUGUAUAGGGUGUGACGCCUGCCCGGUGCUCGAAGGUUAAUUGAUGGGGUUAGCAUUAGCGAAGCUCUUGAUCGAAGCCCGAGUAAACGGCGGCCGUAACUAUAACGGUCCUAAGGUAGCGAAAUUCCUUGUCGGUUAAAUACCGACCUGCAUGAAUGGCGUAACGAGAUGGGAGCUGUCUCAAAGAGGGAUCCAGUGAAAUUGUAGUGGAGGUGAAAAUUCCUCCUACCCGCGGCAAGACGGAAAGACCCCGUGGACCUU